rnacentral:tRNA from 1 species
GGGUCGGUAUCCAAAUUGGUUGAAGGAGCUUGACUGUAAAUCAAGUGCCGGUGUGCUGAACGUGGGGGUUCGAGUCCCUCCCGACCCA